AGAAUGAACGUUGGCGGCGUGGAUUAGGCAUGCAAGUCGUACGGGCCGCAAGGCCAGUGGCGCAAGGGUGAGUAAGGCGACGGUAACCAACCCCGUGAUUGGGUAUAGCCGCGGGAAACUGCGGGUAAUCCCCAGCGACGUCCGGGAGGGGCAUCCCCUCCGGACCAAAGCCCCGGCGUCGCGGGACGGGCCGUCGUGCUAUUAGCUCGUUGGCGGGGUAACGGCCCACCAAGGCGAUGAUGGCUACCGGGCGUGCGAGCGUGGCCCGGCACACUGGGACUGAGACACUGCCCAGACUCCUACGGGAGGCUGCAGUCGAGAAUCUUCGGCAAUGGGCGCAAGCCUGACCGAGCGACGCCGCGUGGAGGACGAAGGCCUUCGGGUUGUAAACUCCUGUCGAGGGGGAAGAAGGUCCGCAAGGGCUUGACUGAUCCCUGGAGGAAGCACGGGCUAAGUUCGUGCCAGCAGCCGC
rnacentral:rRNA from 1 species